rnacentral:rRNA from 1 species
GGACGAACGCUGGCGGCGUGCUUACCCCAUGCAAGUCGAACGGAAAGGCCCUGCUUUUGUGGGGUGCUCGAGUGGCGAACGGGUGAGUAACACGUGAGUAACCUGCCCUUGACUUUGGGAUAACUUCAGGAAACUGGGGCUAAUACCGGAUAGGAGCUCCUGCUGCAUGGUGGGGGUUGGAAAGUUUCGGCGGUUGGGGAUGGACUCGCGGCUUAUCAGCUUGUUGGUGGGGUAGUGGCUUACCAAGGCUUUGACGGGUAGCCGGCCUGAGAGGGUGACCGGCCACAUUGGGACUGAGAUACGGCCCAGACUCCUACGGGAGGCAGCAGUGGGGAAUAUUGCAAAAUGGGCGGAAGCCUGAUGCAGCAACGCCGCGUGCGGGAUGACGGCCUUCGGGUUGUAAACCGCUUUCGCCUGUGACGAAGCGUGAGUGACGGUAAUGGGUAAAGAAGCACCGGCUAACUACGUG